rnacentral:lncRNA from 1 species
UUCGAUACCAUCGAUAUUUUAGACCUUGGUGCAUGUUUACACGCAUUUAAAAGAGAUGUUAACCAUUAGAUUGAUCUAAUGAAUUUUAACAAGUCCACAUCAGCAUUUCUUUACACAUUAUGUGUAUUUAAUACCUUUGAAAUAAAAUAUUAAAAAUACAAAAUAAUAGUCUCAGCCCUAACCCAGCCCCUACUCAGCCCAUACCUAAAUCAUCCCCACCAGUUGCUGCUAUCCAUGGCCACCUCCUCUCUUUGCGCCAUCCAUAGUCCUAUCGUAGUAUUUAAUAUGGAAUUAUUGUCUCAACAGCAAGCAAGUAUUCCAAAAUUAAACUGCAAUUGAAAAUUCUAGAGGUGCCUGCCAACUACUAGAAUUAUAGGCAAGCGCCGAUCAACUAUGAGAGCAUCAUAGUGGGGCGCAAAUUGUCCUGAAGGAUAAAGUGCCAAACAUUUAC